rnacentral:tRNA from 1 species
UUUAAUAUGGCACAAUACUG